rnacentral:rRNA from 1 species
UAGAGUUUGAUCAUGGCUCAGGACGAACGCUGGCGGCGCGCUUAACACAUGCAAGUCGAGCGAGAACCAGUCCUUCGGGACUGGGGACAGCGGCGAACGGGUGAGUAACACGUGAGUAAUCCACCCCCGACACUGGGAUAGCCCGGGGAAACCCGGAUUAAUACCGGAUAGCCACUUCGGUUUUCGGACCGAAAUGAAAAGGUAGCUUCGGCCUCCGGUUGGGGACGAGCUCGCGGCGGAUUAGCUUGUUGGCGGGGUAAAGGCCCACCAAGGCGACGAUCCGUAGCUGGUCUGAGAGGACGAUCAGCCACACUGGGACUGAGACACGGCCCAGACUCCUACGGGAGGCAGCAGUGGGGAAUCUUGCGCAAUGGGCGAAAGCCUGACGCAGCGACGCCGCGUGAGGGAAGAAGGCCUUCGGGUUGUAAACCUCUUUCAGGAGGGACGAAGCCACUCGGGUGAAUAGCCCAGAGGGUGACGGUACUUCCAGAAGAAGCCCCGGCUAACUACGUGCCAGCAGCCGCGGUAGCCCAAUCGCC